UUUUGAUUUAACAGCUGUAAUGAGGAUCUGGAAUUUCACAUCUGCUCUUUAGUUGCUGUUGUGUUUAUCUGUAUUUGUUGCUAGGAUGAGAGUCAUACUUUCAGCCGUGAUAAAAAAAAUUACAUUUGUAAUAAAUCAAUAGUACGUUUAGUUUUCCAUUAUAAUGUUUAGCCUUUUUUGACUUUUUAAAAAUAUAUAUAAAUAAAUGCAGGGCUGAACAGAAAGAGGAUGUUAUUAUCAUACUACAAGAUUAAUCUAUUCUCUCUCGUAUACGAUACAUUCUGCACAUAGACAUCAUACUAGCCUCACCCCAAACCUGCCUGGUAUAAAAGUAAGCACUGCACUGUUCUAGACAAUUACACAGAGAAACUGAGCAUCAAAAGCUUACCAAAAGACAAAGCAGACAAAUUCUUUUUCAGUGAAUUAAAGAGCUGGAUUAGGUGCACUUAUCUUUGUUUCCUUUCAAAGCAAAGAAAUCUGCAAUGGCAAGCAGUGAUUCAAAGGGGGAAAUCUGCACUGUUGGAGAUAUGUAUGUAUUCACAGUGAAUGUGAGUGAGUUUGCACCAGAAGAAGUUACCGUAACCUCCACCAAUAAUUCAAUCCAAGUCUGUGCAGAAAAGCUUGCAUCAGGUGGGACAACUGUGGACACUGUUUGUCAGAAGUGCCAAUUUCCGGCUGAUGUGAAUCCAAUGUCGGUCACAUCUUCUCUAGAGAAAGAUGGUUUGUUGAGUAUUAAAGCCCAAAAACAUUCAGUAAAAGGGUCUGCAAUCAUAGAUUCAAUCUAAGAAGUGAAAACCUAAUGUAUCUAUGAGUGUUUUAUAAAACAAUCUGUUUUAUCAUUAUUAUUCUCUAAAUGUCAUCCUUUGGAUUUUUAAACAAAAACAAAUGUUACAAUUUGUAUUUUGUAUUUGAAUAAGGUUUCUGACUUCUAUAUAUUGUCCUAGACUAACUGAGACUUGUCAUGGCACUUGUAUACUGUUGUUCUCUCGUUGGUUUGAUUGCUUCUGUUGU